ensembl:lncRNA
CAGAAGAUGAAGCAAAUCAGUGAGGACAGAACGUGUCCCCUCUGCACUGUAAGAUCUCCUUACCUUCACUUCUCUGAAACGCUUUUUACGCAGAAUUUGAGACACUGAAGUAGAGGAAAACAUAGCUGUGAUUUCUCCCUGUUGUGUAUUUAAUGCAGUUCUCCAUGUAGAAAAGAUGAUUUCCCACGUUCUUUCCCUAUGCCUGUAACUGAGCGUUUUGUAUCAUAACUGCACUUGAUUUUCUAAGACAGAAGCUGUUAUGGCAAGACACUGAUCUCAUUCUUCCUCCAGAACGGUGAAAUUUGAAGCACAAAUAGGCCUUCUGCUAUUUGGGCAGAUACAAUAUGUACAAUGCAAGAUAUAUAAAAUGUGAGUAUACACAAUGCAUAUACAGUGUACAUUCUGAGAUCCAUAUUAUUAGUGUGUAUAUAUAUAAUGUAUUGUAUAAUGUAAUAAUAGUGUGUGUAUAUACUAUACAUGCCCACCUACUAUGCCUAGUAUAUAGUUACUUGUACUGUACAUAAGAUGUGUAUAUACAACAGAUAUGUAGAAUAUGCAUAUAUAUUCUAUAUAUUAACAUUUGUGUGUAUGUAUUCUCUAUAGAAAGAGGGACACAGAAAUGCAAUCUGUACAGAAACACAGCUGAGAUGACAGCCCUUAGAAUUUCAAAGUUCUGGUGAAAGAAAAGAAAGAGGAGGACUGACUGCUUUGAGUCAAUUUGCUUUGAGAUUUCUGUCGUUGGCAUGAGAAGCUGUGUUCACUCAUUGUGCCAAACGUGAGGGAGACCUGGCAGAAACUCACACCUGGAAGUGCUGAGGUGAACGAAGUCUCCUCAUUCCAAUUACACAGAUUGCACACAGUGCUCACCUGGACUUCAGUUCUCUUUUUCCUCCAUUUCCACCUGAGCUGCUCCUUCAGGAGGAACACCAAUAUGUUGGCUUUGGGGAAGGGAUGGAGGUGAUCCGACUUUCUUCUUGGGCAGAUGAUUGGACUGUGGUACACUGAGCCAAACAAAG